UACGUAGGGUGCGAGCGUUGUCCGGAAUUACUGGGCGUAAAGAGCUCGUAGGUGGUUUGUCGCGUUGUUCGUGAAAACUCACAACUCAAUUGUGGGCGUGCGGGCGAUACGGGCAGACUGGAGUACUGCAGGGGGAGACUGGAAUUCCUGGUGUAGCGGUGAAAUGCGCAGAUAUCAGGAGGAACACCGAUGGCGAAGGCAGAUCUCUGGGCCGUAACUGACGCUGAGGAGCGAAAGCAUGGGGAGCGAACAGG
rnacentral:rRNA from 1 species